rnacentral:rRNA from 1 species
CCUACGGGAGGCUGCAGUAAGGAAUCUUCCACAAUGGACGAAAGUCUGAUGGAGCAACACCGCGUGCAGGAUGACGGCCUUCGGGUUGUAAACUGCUUUUAUAUGGGAAGCGGUACCAUAUGAAUAAGGACCGGCUAACUACGUGCCAGCAGCCGCGGUAAUACGUAGGGUCCAAGCGUUAUCCGGAAUCACUGGGCGUAAAGCGUGCGUAGGUGGCGUGUUAAGUGUGAUGUUAAAUCGUGUGGCUCAACCAUAUCGAUGCAUCACAUACUGGCAUGCUAGAGGGAAGCAGAGGCAAGUGGAAUUGGUAGUGUAGCAGUGAAAUGCGUAGAUAUUACCAGGAACACCAAUGGCGAAGGCAGCUUGCUGGGCUUCUCUGACACUGAGGUACGAAAGCGUGGGGAGCGAACAGGAUUAGAUACCCUUGUAGUC